UCCGUAAUAGCUCAGUGGUAGAGCAAUCGGCUGUUAACCGAUAGGUCGUAGGUUCGAAUCCUACUUGCGGAGCCA
rnacentral:tRNA from 1 species